UUUAAUCACUUCAUUUUGUUUUUGUCCGCCAUUUUGAAAAUAUAUGCGGUAUCCUUCAUUAAUGUAUCGCAGGCGCUAAUCACGAAGUUCGGCCGAAUGAGUUCCGAAACCGAAAAUUUAAAAAAUAACGGGUGAAGAGAAAAACGAAGGAAGAAAAAUUGCGGGGGAGUGAAACUUCAGAGAUUUUGUCGUAUGAUGCUGG